CACCAUUGCAAAUGAAAAGUGCAAAAUAAAUUGAAGUAAAGGUACAGGGUUACAAGUGUAAUUCACCCCCCCAUGGUAGGGACUACGAAACAAUUAAUUGGACGAUUAUAAAGCUAGAGGAUUUUGAAUGAUGGAUUUGAGUUUUGGGAAGGCUGGGGAAUGACAGGUGAGGGUAGGAGAAGGCGGUGAUGGCAAGCGACAUGGCGGUUGUGGGUGCGGGUGCAGGGAUAACGUUUGACCCUGAAAUCUAGGGUUUGUCCAUAGUGGUAAUUUUUUUUAAGGGGUGAGAUGUAAUAAAAAAAAUAAAUAUUUUUGAUGGGCUAGAAGGAGGAAUCUAGGUCAAAUAGAAUCACCCUAGUACUUAUACCAUUUACUAAUAAAAUUAACCAAACAACCUCCAUCCUCUUAUGCCAUCCACCACCAUCAUUCUCCCCACCCUCGCCCCUUUCACCUCUCCCACCACACCCACCCUCUCCCCCAUCAAUCCGAGAUGCCUUCUUCGCACCCCGAAGUCACCCCACCCCUUAGGAGUGGCAUGGCCCUACUCAUCUCAAUCACAUAUAGCAACUCCUCACCUCAUUGGGCCGCCACCCCCAGCCCCUUCCUUACCUUGCCCAGCCACCUCCCAAUCGUUCCCACACUAAGCUGUACCCCUCCCGCUCCUUCAUCAAGAUUAAUAUAUAUAUUUAAAUACAUUUUUCAGACUUCCACCAUCUUCAUAUACUUAAAUUUUAGGAAAAAUUAUAAAAAUAACCAUAGGAUUUCACUGAUAAAUUAAAUCUUGAAUUUUUUUUGAAUAAAUUAAAUCUUAAACUUUUUAACCUAUCACGUUUCAAAUCUUUCGCCAAUUUCAAUUUAUAUAGUUAAACGACAACAAUUGUUCCCACAAAAAUGAUUGAGAAAACGAUGUCCAGUGAAUUGGGACCCUUUUAAUAGUUUUAAUUUCCGCAAUUAGGACACUUAUCUAAUUGGUGUCGUCAAACUAUAUAAAUGAAAGCUAAUGGCGUUCUUAAUUGGUGUUGUUUUUUUAAAAGAAAAUAAUUUUUUUUGCUUUUUUUAAGUUCAAUAGUUAUUUUUUAGAAACUACUCAACUCAUGCUUCUCAACUUCUACUUCUACCUAUUACUCAAUCAUAAAAGCAAAAUAACAAAAUAUCUCGUACUUGUUUGACCUAAUUAUAAAUAUACCUUCAUAAAUAACAAACCAAUUCGACUCUCUUUAUUUUUUGAUCAUUCUCUCUCUUAUCCAUCUCCGUACUGAAGACCUACCCUACACUAAAGCCACUAUUCCUUUAUCUGCCAUUGUAUCCGACCGUCAAUUAGCCACCGAUCACCGUUUAAUAAUUUUAUUUUAUUUUUGUUAAAUUUUUAUGAGCAUAUAGUGUUUUUUUGCUUGGUAAUGUAACUGUUUUUUUGAGCAACUUCUAACUACAAAAAUAUACAUUUUGAAUGUUUUCAAUUACGUUUUUUUUUAACAUAAAUGAACUUUUUAAGCUAUUUUUAGGGCCAUUUUUGAAGUUACUAAACUCAUGCUUUUUAGUUUUUGUUUCUAUCUAUUACUCAAUUAUAAAAGCAAAAUGACAAAAUACUUCAUACUUAAUUAACCAACUAGUUUUUCAAUUGGAGAUUAUAUGCCGAACUAGUUUUUUAAUUAACAAAUAUUCUUGGAUCAUGAAGAUGGUGAAAGAUUGCAUUGCCGUUUUGAUUAAGAAUAUGGAACGUUUGAAAACCUUGGUAAGUAUUUUGUUAAAAGCACAAUGUCAUACCCUGCAGUUUUUUCAGGCAACUAGUUAAUGCGGUCGAAGUAUACAAACAUUUGGUUUAAAUUGUAAUGGUUAAAAAAUAUGAGAUCUAAUUUAUUUAAAUUGAAAAUAUGAGUUAAUUUUGUCACUAAAUUUAAACCUUGGGUUUAAUAUGUAAUUUCGUAAUCAAAGACACUUGCACAAAUUAUAUAGGCAGCGGAAGAAAUGCUAAUUUUAAUUUCAAACAAACCUUCCCAAUCUUUUUUUCCUAAUUCCAUUAAAUGUUGGUUGGAGUUAAAUUUUGCUGGAACCUGUAAAUUCACCUAAUGUAUAGGGAAAUGUGACGCCGUCUCAACAAUUGAGGUGCUUUCCCUGUGGCUACUUAGUUGGAGGUCUAAGCUUUUUGUGCUUGGAUUCUCCUAGACUAUGCCUUGAUGCUCUCUCUCUUUUUUCCCCCUUUUCUCCGGGCAAUUGAGGUGUAAUUUUGAUUAAUCGGUGAAAAUAAUUUACUAAAGAUAAAUAAAAGGUGAAAAGCAAAAUAGAUAAAAAAAAAUUAUCCCAAAUAGAAAGAAAAAUGAUUUUCAUACGUUCAUUUUCUUUAAUUGUAUUUUUCUUAUGUUUAUUGAAAUUAAAUUAUGCAAUUAUCGUAAUAAAAAUAUUUGAGUAAAAAUAAAUAUUUAAAUAAAUUUAUCAUAAUAAGGACAACAAAAUCUAUAAUAUAUGACACAAGUAUUUUUGAAUCUUUCAAAUUAUCUCUCACUAUUUACGGAUGAGAUCUAUUUGAGUUAAUACAAUGUCUGAAAUUUCACCUGAGACUAUUUUUUCUCCAAAAAAAAUAUCACUUCUUUUUUUCUCAAAGGUGUGUGUGGCCCACGUAGGUUGUAAAAAUCACAUGGUCAAACUAGCAACACUUUUUCAAAAUCAUUAUAUUUUUUAAUUUAUUCUUUAUUUUGUAGUAAUCUAUCUCUUAUAUGACGUUUAUAUCUUAUAUGUUUUUUAGGUUAUACAAAUUUUAAUGCACACGGAUGCGAUUUUUUUUUUUUUUACAUAAUGUCCGUGUGCACGGAUAAUUACUAACAGCUUAAUAUGAUCAAUUUAAUUGGUUUAGUAUUUUUCUUACAUCCCUAGGACUUGGGUUUGAUCGGAGAUUAUAUGCCGAAUAAAUUUUUUAAUUAGUAAAUAUUUUUGAACCAUAGAGAUGGCGGAAGAUUGUGUUGCCGUUUUGAUUAAGAAUAUAGGACUUCUGAAAAACCAUGGUAAGAAUAUAUCCUGCAGUUUUUUCAGCCAGUUAGUUAAUGCGGUUUCAGCCAGUUAGUUAAUGGGGUCAAAUGAUACAAUCAUUUGGUUUGAAUCGUAAUGGUUAAAAAAUAUGAGAUUUAAUUUCUUAAAUUGAAAAUAUAAAGUUAAUUUUGUCACCAAGUUUAAACUUUGGGGUUUAAUUUGUAAUUUCUCAAAAAAAAAGCAUUAAAAGUUAGAACUCAAAUCCAAUACCAAUCGGAGGCCGAUUCACUUUUGGGUUCUCUCUUGGCAAUUGCGAACUGCGAAGGCGACGUGAUUCUAGGGUUUGCGACGAGAAGAAGAUGAAAUCGGGAGCGACGAUCUGUGUGGAUGCUGAGCCCUAUUUGAGGGUGAAGGAGGAAGUGGAGGAAAAACAUGGCCUUCAAAUUGUUGGCGAAGGCGACGAGUAUUGCCUGAAGCAAAGCGACGAAAUAAGUGGAAUCGUAACGACGACCUUUUUGGGAUCCUGGAUGAUGUGGCUAAGCCCCUUUCGAGAGUGAAGGAGGAAGUGGAGGAAAAUCACGGCCUUCGAAUUGGGGGCGAUGCUAUGUUUUAUGCUCAUAUUCUUAUCGGAGGAAAGUUUGGAGAAUGUCAAAUUGGUAACUGUUAAUUCUCUCGUCUAUUACAUCUGUUGCUAUCCGUAUGUAAUCAAAUUUUGUUGUUGCUGCUGCUGCUGUUGUUAAAUCUCGUCUUUUCAUAAUUUCGGUUGAUUUUGGAGCUAUUCGUAGCCAUGGAUGGACGCAGACCUUGGGGCGGAUGGACAUACAUGGACGAAAAACUUGUGUCGAUUGCCUGAACAAAUUAUAUCAAUCUAGUAGAGUGCUAUUUUGUACAUCCACCUGGGUGAAUAUUACCCCAUUUAGAAUAGUAGACCCCGCAAUUUAGCCAUCACAGAUAGGAUAUUGAUGUGGGUGAACAAAAUAGCACUCACAUAAUUAAACUGAAACAUUAGAAGAAGAGGAAGAAUGAGAAGCUAAAAAACCUUUAGCUUGGUGGAUAUGACAAUGAAAAAGAUCUCCCCUGACAUGAGAUUCUUUCGUCAUUUGGCAUAAUUUUCUAAUAGAAAAGUUUAUCUGUUGGCCGAGUUUUUUUUCUAUCUGUGAAGACUGGCAGAACACGCUAUGGCCCGAUAUUUUCGUCAGGUGUUUAUCUGGGAUUUUCCUACCUUUGGAGAUUGGAUGCCUCCGUGCAUUCGCUUUGCACGGCAGAUUAGUUUUGUCAUUUCUAGCCCAAACCCACAAUUUAGAAGGUCGCCUUCUUUAUAAAAAAAUUGUCAAAGGGAAACAUAUGUAUCAUUUUUUGUUAGGCUUGAACAAAAAUCUCGAUGAAUUAGAGGACGACUUAUGGGCUUAAAAACCUCUGCCGCACCUCAGAGAGGCAUUUUAUGAACUCCGUCGUGAAAAAUUCGAAAAAAGCUCGUGAUGGGACCCCAUCAACAACUGAAAUAGGCAAGAAAGCUCUGUUUUUAAAACUCAUAUUCACUCCUUCUAAAACCGUCAAAAAUAAAGGAGGAAGGCCUUGGUGUGAUCAGUGUGGAAAGCCAGGUCACUCAAUAGAAACUUUCCAGAAUAUUCAUGAAAAAACAGCAGAUUGGAAGCCAUAUCAACUACUUGAGAAAGAAAGAUGUCCUUUUAUGUCAGCGUAGUCACAAACUGGUUCGUCUUCAAACAAUGUCAUUGAUUCCGGAACCUUGGCUCACAAAGGUAAUUCUUUAAGUGCCUUUAUUAUUGGUAAGAAAUUUAAAAAAUUUUGGAUCAUGGACUCGAGAGCAUCUGAUCAUAUGAGGGGAGAUAUAACAAUUUUUUAUAUAUAUAGCUUAUGUCCAAAUAAUCUAACGGUCCGAAUAGCGAAGGUUACCGAUAUAGGUUCAGUUGUGCUAUCACAGGAUCUUAAUCUCAACUCUGUUCUUCUUGUUCCUAACUUGGACUAUAAUCUAUUGUCAAUUAGUAAACUUACUAAAGAAAGGAGGCAUGUUACUAAUUUUUUCUCCAUUCACUAUGAAUUUUAGGAUUUGGAUUCGAGGAAGACGAUUGGCAAUGCUGAGGAAUACUCCAGACUCUCCAUCCUUAAGGAUCGCAACUAUCCACAAGAACAAUCUCAAACGACAUUUAGUGGUAUUCUUUGUUUUUAUUUGUGUCAAAAUAACGAUAGUGCAAUCAUGUUUGGCACUAUCAGUUAGGCCUCCUAAUGUUAUGCAUCUCACGCUUUAUUUUCUUCAUUAUUAUUCCUCCCCAAUCCCACCUCCUUUUUCUUUUUCCCUCUUUCCCUUCUCCCCUCCCCGACCCCCUCCGUUUCUUUCUUCAUUUUUCAUUCACCCCCUAUAAAGCUCUAAUCUUCUCAAUGAUUCCAUAGCGAUAUAUGGGGCUGUCCAGAUAAAAAAUUUAACUGGUUCUAUGUGGUUUUGGUCUCCUUAAUAUAUUAUCACACUAGAUUAACCUGGGCAUUCCUCAUGAAAGAAAUUUUGAAACGGGUUCAAAUCUUCAAAAAAUUUAAAAAUAUGAUUUAACUCAAUUUUAGUCAAAAAUACAAAUUCUAAAGCUAAUAACGCUAAUGAUUAUUUCAACUCUAUUCUAAGUUCAUUUCUAGAAAAAAAAAAAAAAAAAUAAAAGAGAGGAUAAUUCACUCCAAGUUUCCAUGUGUAGAUACACCAUAACAAAACGGAAUCGCUGGAAAAAAAAUAGGCAUUUGUCAAGGUGCGAGAUCGUAAUGUGUUUUUUUUUCUCCACAAAUGUUCCAAAAUUAUUCUGGGGGGAAGUUGUACUUUGGUGGCCUACUCAUCAUAGGAUUGCCGUAUAAGGUACAAACAUUCCCAAUGCUUUGUCAAAAGCGCUUAAAUCAUUUUUGAUACUCAUCGUUAUCUUCACCAUCCAAAUUUUUGGGUGGCUCAGUCUUUGUUCAUGUCCAUCAAUAGUAUACGAAGUAAAUUUGAAAUCAUAGUGUCACUCAAAUGCAUCUUUUCUUUGGUAUCUUCAAAUCAAAAAGGUACAAGUGUUACCUUCGUCACAAGAAAAAUCUCAACUAUAUCCCAAUUCUUUGGCAGUAUCGAAUGACAAUUUUUUUUUGCCAAUGUCAGUGGUCAGCGAGUGACAAGCGACGACCAUGACAUAUUAUUUUCUGCCUCCAUUUUUUGUAGGUUGGUGCUGAGGUUUCUGGUGCCCGUUGAAGCUCCAUUGAUGUAGUCUUCUUUCUCCUUUCCCCGUAUGAACAAGUAAGAUGACUAGACCAUUGUAAAUAAUUUUGUCCAUUCAGUUUAUGGGAGGAUCCCUGAAGAUAAGAGGUUUCCUCUAUAAAGGAUGAAGAUGAUGAGAUGUGCUAUCAGAAGAAGAGGAGGGUGAGUGGUAGCCAUUCGUAAGGUUGGAUCGUAUUUACGACAUGAAAUAGAAAAAGAGAAUCGAGUAGAAAAACUCGAACAUUGAUUGAAGAUGAAGAAAUUAUAUCAAUCUAGUAGAGUGCUAUUUUGUACAUCCACCUGGGUGAAUAUUACCCCAUUUAGAAUAGUAGACCCCGCAAUUUAGCCAAUCACAGAUAGGAUAUUGAUGUGGGUGAACAAAAUAGUACUCACAUAAUUAAACUGAAACAUUAGAAGAAGAGGAAGAAUGAGAAGCUAAAAAACCUUUAGCUUGGUGGACAUUAAUUUUUCAAAAAUUUCUCGGGUGGAAAAACUAUAUAAUUUGAAAAUAUUAGUAGCUUAUACUAUUAUUAUAAUGGGUUUUUACCUUGGGGUGGCGUUGGCGCCCUUCUAUCUCUAUCUCUCUCCCCUCAAUUCCUAAUUGUAGCCUUGUUGGUUUUAUUUUUCCCGUGACGCUUCAAUGGGUUUCGGUCCUGAUUCCAUUGUUGGUUGGGUUUUUUGAUGUUACUUUUUCUGGUUCUUCGAUUGGUGAUUACUGAUAUUUAUUUUUCCUUUUAUCUUAACCGUGAUGAUUUAUUUAUAUUGAAGAAGACAGUUUAAUGCUAGAGAGAUGCAGCAUAUCUCAAUGAAGCCUGUGAGUUGACACGAUCUAGAAUCUUAAGCAAUGAGGACGAGAAAGAGCUUGAUAGUGUUGAGCACAUUAUACGUCGGUCUUUGAUAGAAUACAACGAGCUGGUUAAGGAGAAGCAUCCGAUCUUCAAGCCUUGGUGGGAUCGUGUUAGCCGGGAACUUAAUGGUGCAG
rnacentral:lncRNA from 1 species